rnacentral:rRNA from 1 species
UACGUGAAACCGUUUAGGAGUAAACCUGAGAAGCCCGAAAGAUCGAACGGGGUGAUUCAUGCGUGCUCGGUAGUGCAGCGCAAUCACUUACAAUUUAACAGGCGUUAAUUCGUCUGUAUUGCUGUGUUGCUAGCUUGCGCAUCGAACGCGUGCAAUUCACCUCCGGUAGGACGUUGCGACUCGUUGGGUGCCGGUCUAAGGCCCGGUGUGGAGCCCGGUGUUAUUUGCCUUGCGCAUCUAAUGUCGGACCAUCGGAUGCCCGACCGGCCCGCUCGACGGUAUUGAGAUGGCGCGGUGCCGCGACUUGUUCGCGUCCGGCCCGUCACAAACACGCUCGGCUACCAGGACACGCGGAACAUAUGUAGCCGUGUGCUUGGCCCGGACGGUUGUUGGUGGCGGUGUCCUUGGGCAGACACCGUUCUCGCCGAUCAGCGACGCUACUGUUUUGGGCAAUUUCUGGACCCGUCUUGAAACACGGACCAAGGAGUCUAGCAUGUACGCAAGUCAUUGGGCUUUGCAAACCCCACAGGCGAAAUGAAAGUAAGGAUGCGUGUCACUGCGGUGCAUCACGUAUCAAGGGUAGAUGGGCCGCUGCUUGUCACGGCCCCGCACACCCGGGGCGUCUCAAUAUCUCAUUGCGAGAUGAGGCGCACCUAGAGCGUACAUGCUGGUACCCGAAAGAUGGUGAACUAUACUUGGCUAGAGCGAAGUCAGGGGAAACCCUGAUGGAGGCUCGUAGCGGUUCUGACGUGCAAAUCGAUCGUCAAAGCUGAGUAUA